GGGUAGGUUCCCGAGCGGUCAAAGGGAGCAGACUGUAAAUCUGCCGUCUCCGACUUCGGUGGUUCGAAUCCACCCCUGCCCACCA
rnacentral:tRNA from 1 species